rnacentral:rRNA from 1 species
AUUGAACGCUGGCGGCAUGCUUUACACAUGCAAGUCGAACGGUAACAGGCCGCAAGGUGCUGACGAGUGGCGAACGGGUGAGUAAUGCAUCGGAACGUGCCCAGUCGUGGGGGAUAACUGCUCGAAAGAGCAGCUAAUACCGCAUACGAUCUAUGGAUGAAAGCGGGGGACCGUAAGGCCUCGCGCGAUUGGAGCGGCCGAUGUCAGAUUAGGUAGUUGGUGGGGUAAAGGCUCACCAAGCCAACGAUCUGUAGCUGGUCUGAGAGGACGACCAGCCACACUGGGGCUGAGACACGGCCCAGACUCCUACGGGAGGCAGCAGUGGGGAAUUUUGGACAAUGGGGGCAACCCUGAUCCAGCAAUGCCGCGUGCAGGGAGAAGGCCUUCGGGUUGUAAACUGCUUUUGUACGGAACGAAACGGUCUGGGUUAAUACCCUGGGCUAAUGACGGUACCGUAAGAAUAAGCACCGGCUAACUACGUGCCAGCCGCCGCCGUAAGAC